ACGAACGCUGGCGGCGUGCCUAACACAUGCAAGUCGAACGAAGAGCGACGGAAGCUUGCUUCUAUCAAUCUUAGUGGCGAACGGGUGAGUAACGCGUAAUCAACCUGCCCUUCAGAGGGGGACAACAGUUGGAAACGACUGCUAAUACCGCAUACGAUCUAACCUCGGCAUCGAGGAUAGAUGAAAGGUGGCCUCUACAUGUAAGCUAUCACUGAAGGAGGGGAUUGCGUCUGAUUAGCUAGUUGGAGGGGUAACGGCCCACCAAGGCGAUGAUCAGUAGCCGGUCUGAGAGGAUGAACGGCCACAGUGGGACUGAGACACGGCCCAGACUCCUACGGGAGGCAGCAGUGGGGAAUCUUCCGCAAUGGACGAAAGUCUGACGGAGCAACGCCGCGUGAGUGAUGACGGCCUUCGGGUUGUAAAGCUCUGUUAAUCGGGACGAAAGGCCUUCUUGCGAAUAGUGAGAAGGAUUGACGGUACCGGAAGAGAAAGCCACGGCUAACUACGUG
rnacentral:rRNA from 1 species